AGCGAACGCUGGCGGCAGGCUUAACACAUGCAAGUCGAACGCAUCCUUCGGGGUGAGUGGCAGACGGGUGAGUAACACGUGGGAACAUACCUUUUGGUUCGGAAUAACUCAUGGAAACGUGAGCUAAUACCGGAUACGCCCUUUUGGGGAAAGAUUUAUUGCCGAAAGAUUGGCCCGCGUCUGAUUAGCUAGUUGGUGAGGUAAUGGCUCACCAAGGCGACGAUCAGUAGCUGGUCUGAGAGGAUGAUCAGCCACACUGGGACUGAGACACGGCCCAGACUCCUACGGGAGGCAGCAGUGGGGAAUAUUGGACAAUGGGCGCAAGCCUGAUCCAGCCAUGCCGCGUGAGUGAUGAAGGCCUUAGGGUUGUAAAGCUCUUUUAUCCGGGAAGAUAAUGACUGUACCGGAAGAAUAAGCCCCGGCUAACUUCGUGCCAGCAGCCGCCGUAACAC
rnacentral:rRNA from 1 species